GUUGGGGGCAGGGCGAUCUCCAGGUCUCAAUGCAACCUGGACUCUUCGCCCACGCAUCCAAACCCCGCCCCGGAUGCAAUAGGUUUCCUGUGCAGUUGGGUCUCUCUGCUUUUUAAAAUCGUUAUUGUCCUGGCUGCGACAAGCUCUUCACUGAGAGAAAAAGCCCCCAAGCUUGUGACUCCAGGAGCGAGCCCAGAGGUAAAUCCAGGAUGUGGAGAAGAGCUGUGCAUCUCCCGAGGAGGCCUUGGGAAGUUCCCUAGAGAAAAAAGAACUCCGGCAGCUGCUGGAACUCUCCCUCAUCCUCCUGGAGAAAGGGCACUCCCUCCAGCAGGAGGGUCAGGAUGCCACCCGGGAUGCCAAGGCCCCUCUCCGACAGCACAGACCAGCAUAGACAGAGCCACACCUAGAUCCCAGGGCCUCACAGGGGGUUCUUGUUUACAAACUUACACGA